AUUGAACGCUGGCGGCAGGCUUAACACAUGCAAGUCGAGCGGAGAUGAGGUGCUUGCACCUUAUCUUAGCGGCGGACGGGUGAGUAAUGCUUAGGAAUCUGCCUAUUAGUGGGGGACAACAUUCCGAAAGGAAUGCUAAUACCGCAUACGUCCUACGGGAGAAAGCAGGGGAUCUUCGGACCUUGCGCUAAUAGAUGAGCCUAAGUCGGAUUAGCGAGUUGGUGGGGUAAAGGCCUACCAAGGCGACGAUCUGUAGCGGGUCUGAGAGGAUGGACCGCCACAGUGGGACUGAGACACGGCCCAGAAUCCUACGUGAGGAAGCAGUGGGGAAUAUUGGACAAUGGGGGGAACCCUGAUCCAGCCAUGCCGCGUGUGUGAAGAAGGCCUUAUGGUUGUAAAGCACUUUAAGCGAGGAGGAGGCUACUGAGACUAAUACUCUUGGAUAGUGGACGUUACUCGCAGAAUAAGCACCGGCUAACUCUGUGCCAGCCGCCGCCGUAA
rnacentral:rRNA from 1 species